UUGUAAGGAGCCAUCAGGACCGGGUGCCAGUGACUUGCAUCUAUAAUCCUAGCUACUCAGGAGGCUGAGAUCUGAGGAUCACAGUUCAAAGCCAGU